rnacentral:rRNA from 1 species
UAGGGAAUCUUCGGCAAUGGGGGCAACCCUGACCGAGCAACGCCGCGUGAGUGAAGAAGGUUUUCGGAUCGUAAAGCUCUGUUGUAAGUCAAGAACGGGUGUGAGAGUGGAAAGUUCACACUGUGACGGUAGCUUACCAGAAAGGGACGGCUAACUACGUGCCAGCAGCCGCGGUAAUACGUAGGUCCCGAGCGUUGUCCGGAUUUAUUGGGCGUAAAGCGAGCGCAGGCGGUUUGAUAAGUCUGAAGUUAAAGGCUGUGGCUCAACCAUAGUUCGCUUUGGAAACUGUCAAACUUGAGUGCAGAAGGGGAGAGUGGAAUUCCAUGUGUAGCGGUGAAAUGCGUAGAUAUAUGGAGAACACCGGUGGCGAAAGCGGCUCUCUGGUCUGUAACUGACGCUGAGGCUCGAAAGCGUGGGGAGCGAACAGGAUUAGAUACCCUGGUAGUCCACGCCGUAAACGAUGAGUGCUAGGUGUUGGAUCCUUUCCGGGAUUCAGUGCCGAAGCUAACGCAUUAAGCACUCCGCCUGGGGAGUACGACCGCAAGGUUGAAAC